UUUGCUUUGAGGAUGACAGUACUGGAACAAGCUGCCUGGAGAGGUUACAGAAUCUCCUUCUCUGGAGAUGCUCAAAGCUCACAAGGAUGCUUUCCAGUGUAACAUACUCU
ensembl:miRNA gga-mir-6707 gga-mir-6707